GCAGUGGCAGCUAAGUGGUUAAAAUAUUGGACUACUGAUCAAAUAGUCAUGAGUUCAAACCCCAACACUGCC